UACGUAGGGUGCGAGCGUUGUCCGGAAUUAUUGGGCGUAAAGAGCUCGUAGGCGGUCUGUCGCGUCGGUCGUGAAAACUUGGGGCUUAACCCUGAGCUUGCGGUCGAUACGGGCAUGACUGGAGUUCGGCAGGGGAGACUGGAAUUCCUGGUGUAGCGGUGAAAUGCGCAGAUAUCAGGAGGAACACCGGUGGCGAAGGCAACCACCUGGGCCUGCAUUGACGCUGAGGUACGAAAGCGUGGGGAGCAAACAGG
rnacentral:rRNA from 1 species